AACAGAAUAUAAUAUAGCAUGGAACAAUCAAAAAUUAUAGAUACGUUGGAGACGUAUCACACACCCCCUCCAUUCGUGCGCAGUACAUGCUUCUCCGGCCGCCGCGCUGCCUAGAUCCAACAAGGCUGCGUCACACCGGUCCUGGAUCCGCCCGCUUCCAAUGAGGCUGCAUCACCCGCAGGCGCACCUCUGCCUCGCUGUGGGCAAUGGAUGCUCCUCCGCAGGUCAACCUCCUGGUAGCGGGUAGUUCGAUGCUCCCUGUCACGCUACGAUCGGCGCUCCCUCGGGCUACACAAGAAUUUCUUUCCGUCUGCGUCUGCACCUCUGAAAAGGAAUCAUUGUUUCUUAUUGGAGAAGGCCUGAUGUUUAGUUGGUGUCCGUGUGGUACCUACACCGGCAUUUUCCAUCAAGACCUCCAGAAAAAGAGAGAUCGUCUCAAGUUCUGCAGAUAUUUUACAACUUCUCCGAACAUGCAUCCACCAAUGUGCUCGGCGUCGUCCACAACUUCAUCGUGUGAGAGCUUCUGCUCCAGAUCCUCUUCCUCCAUGGUCCCCGCACGCCGUGACGACCAGCUCUGCAACCGAAACUGAAGCAUAGUGUUCUUGGAACCAAACUGAAGCAAUGCAACGAGAAGUACAAAAACUUGGCCUGAUGUACCUUGUCCUAUACCCACUUCUUUGCCUCGAUGUAGGAAUCUGAUAGAAAAAACAAGUUUGAUUUCUUGGCACACUGUCUUGUCCAUGUGUGUGGCAUUAAUCAUACGACGCGCUGCAGGGGCGGUCGCCGGCGGAGGGCGGAGUGUCGGCAACAACCACCUCUGCCCCAUCCUGCUCCUCCUCAUCGCGUGACCGUCUCCUUGGCCGCCCUGCACCUCGACGUCAAUUACUGCCCUCCCAUGAGAGAUCGGACGGACAAGGCGCUCCUGCCAUCUUCUUCCCCGUUGAUCCAGCUCCUGUUCCCCGCCGACAGUAGGAGACAUGAGGUCACCCCCGGCGCUGCUGGUGGCGUGAAGGCCGUCAAAUGGUGAUAUACUUGGACCUUUGCCUCAUCAGUACAACAACACGCUCCCCAGCCGGUCACGAGAAGAGCUGCGUGCAGGCCACCUUGUGCUCCAUCCUCGAUCCGCCUCAGUCAUCUCCCUCUCAUCCUCUCUCUGCUCCGGGUGUGUGUGCAGGGAGUGGGAGCAGAUAGAGCAGGGGAGUGGGAGGCCCUUCCAUGGUGAAUUCAUAGGCAUCUUCCAUGGAGAUUCUGAGAUUUGCUUGAGGAUUUAUGUUGUUGGUCUGUCCACUGUAGUUCGAUAUUAUUCUGUAACUUCAGAUAUAUCACCUCCUCCGUCCAUGCAGAUAAAGCAGUUUUGAAGCAAUUCCCAGUGUCUUUAGAAGCAUUCAUGGUUAAAAAGCAACGACUACCUCCUCCGUUCGAGUUGAGCACUGGUCAUCGUCCAAAGUUGAGCACUAGGUGUCGUCCAAGUUCAGAGAGGGUUGUAUGCAAGUACAAAAGUUUGUUUUAGUGAGAAAAUGCGGCGUUUCAAAAUGUGUAUUUAAACAAUGGGUGCAUAUGCACCUAGGAGCCAUUGCCAAUUUCCGCGUUUUGACAAUAUUCUGUAUGGUUCAUUUGUCCAACCUUAGAACAUGGUGAUAUUCAGUCUAUUUUUCUAUGAUGAAGGCACACGUGAAGUCAUGUGCAAUGGUUA